rnacentral:tRNA from 1 species
AGGAUUAUAGUUAAUUAUAACAUUUGAAUUGCAAUCAAAAAGUACUAAAAUAGUUAAUCUUA